rnacentral:rRNA from 1 species
UCAGAGGUGAAAUUCUUGGAUUGAUGGAAGACAAACUGCUGCGAAAGCGUCUGCCAAGGAUGUUUUCAUUGAUCAAGAACGAAAGUAAGGGGAUCGAAGACGAUCAGAUACCGUCGUAGUCUUUACCAUAAACGAUGAGGACUGGGGAUCGGGCGAGGAAUUACGAUGACCCGCCCGGCACCCUCCGGGAAACCAAAGUGUUUGCUUUCUGGGGGGAGUAUGGUCGCAAGGCUGAAACUUAAAGGAAUUGACGGAAGGGCAUCACCGGGUGUGGAGCCUGCGGCUUAAUUUGACUCAACACGGGAAAACUUACCAGGUCAGGACAUAGUGAGGAUUGACAGAUUGAGAGCUCUUUCUUGAUUCUAUGGUUGGUGGUGCAUGGCCGUUCUUAGUUGGUGGAGUGAUUUGUCUGGUUAAUUCCGUUAACGAGCGAGACCUGGGCGUGCUAAAUAGGGGCUAUUACCUUUUUUGGUAGUAUGUUUUCCCCUUCUUAGACGGACUGUGGGCGCCUAGCCCACGGAAGCUCCAGGCAAUAACAGGUCUGAGAUGCCCUUAGAUGUUCUGGGCCGCACGCGUGCUACACUGAGUGGAUCAGCGGGUCAGGUUGCAAGAGAUUGUUUCCUAAUCUUGAAAUCCGCUCGUGCUGGGGAUUGACGGUUGCAAUUUUCCGUCAUGAACGAGGAAUACCUUGUAAGCGCGGGUCAUCAUCCCGCGCUGAAUACGUCCCUGCCCUUUGUACACACCGCCCGUCGCUCCUACCGAUUGAGUGGUCCGGUGAGGCUUUGGGAUUGCAGCGAAAAUAGCGCUUCGCUAGAUUUGUCGCAAGAACUCAGUCGAACCUUAUCAUUUAGAGGAAGGAGAAGUCGUAACAAGGUUUCCGUAGGUGAACCUGCAGAAGGAUCAAGCUA